GCUGCACUACUUAAUCACGUCACAAGAUCCCCUUUUCCUCUCCCACCACCACCGAACGACGUCGUCCCCCGCGCGCGCUACUUCACGCGGGACUUGGGCUCGCGAGGCCGCCGGAAUCCCGCGGGCGAGGCUCUCCUCUCCCCGCCGCGUCCCCAGACUGGUUGAUCUGUAUGAUGACAUUCGUAAAAUGAUACUGUAUUUUAACAUAUAUUUGAGAUGGAUGAUCUGCCAGAUGGUGACGGGCAAUCUGAUACACACUCUACUGAUGCAAAUUGGCUGUCCUCACAUGAAGAGCAUAAGUUCCAAUCCAUUUCCUUGGCUAAGCAGGACCACAAUUCGGAUUUGGCAGAUUCUUCUCUUAACUGUAUGAAAGGUGACCAUUCAUUUUGCGCUUCUCAGGAAUUAUGGUCUACUGGAUUUCUAUCGAGUCCAAUACCCAAUGGAUUUUACUCAAUUAUACCGGAUAAGAAACUGAAGGAGUGUUUUGACGCCAUUCCUUCUCCUGAUGAUCUAUAUUCCCUUGGAAUAGAGGGCUUCAAGGCUGAGAUAAUUCUUGUGGACUUGGAGAAGGAUAAAAAGCUAUCUGCGAUAAGGCAGCUAUGUGUAGCUCUGGUAAAAGGAUUGAGUUCUAACCCAGCCGCAAUGAUAAAAAAGCUUGCAGGUUUGGUUUGUGACUUCUAUAAGCGACCAAACCCACAGCUCAGCCCUGCAAGAACUUCUUCUGAAGAAAAUUUUCAUUUCAUGGAAAACAAGGGAAUUCAAUUGUUGGGGCAGAUACGACAUGGAUCUUGUCGGCCCAGAGCAAUUUUAUUUAAAGUCCUUGCUGACUCUGUUGGUAUAGAUUCUAAGCUGUUGGUGGGCAUUUCAGAUGAAGAAUCUCAUGAACGCGAUGACUCACCCAAACAUAUGUCUGUUGUUGUUAUGCUGAAGUCCAUGGAGUUUCUCGUUGAUCUAAUGCGUUUUCCAGGACAACUAAUUCCAUUCUCAUCCAAAGCUAUAAUCACAUCCCAUAUAUCUGCUGCUGGAGAGAGUGACUCUGCUGACUAUGAUUCUUGUGAUUCUCCUCUUGAACCGAAUAGUCCUUUGUGCUCUCAACGGCAAGAGCAAGAUGAAAACAAUAGGUCAUUUAAAGUUCCGUCCCUAAGAGACAUCAUGCGCCGAACUUCAAACUCUAUGGAGGGCAAAUUGAGAUGUUCAUCACAUAGUGAACCAAAUGUUGCCAAUGCCUUAUGUGGACGCCGUGGGAGGAAAGCUAAUGAACAUCAAAGAACUGCCAGUUCAAGUCCAGACCAUCCAUUGUCCAGAGCACAUGGACGCUCAAACUUGGGUGAUAGACAGUACGGAGAUGGUGUAGCUGUAUCAAGGUACCUCAAUGGUGCAUCAACGUCAAGUGCACGGAGAGGACGUCCAAAAAGUAUGAGUACAUCCCCUGAAAUUGGUGAUGACUUUGCGAGGGCAGUUAAAGAAAUGAGUGAAAGCAUGAGGAAAAAUCGCCAUUCAAGGGCACAUAAUGAUGGUAGUCCAGGACAUUCAAAUGAUUCACAGAGAAAAGAGGAAUCAGUAGGUGACCUCAACGAUGAUGAGGUGUCAGUAAGAGAACCAAAUGUUCAGGAGGGUUCAAGAAGGCACAUUAUUACUCAGAAGGCAUUGUCAUUACCUUCAUCACCGCAUCGGUUAGGUAACCAUGGUUCUAAUCUUAGAGAGCCAGCUGACUUCCUUACAGCAGAAGAUCUGAUGUCCACUUGGAAUAAAGCAUUGCAAUCUUCACCAUUUCUGAACAAGCCAUUAUUGCCUUUUGAAGAAUGGCAUAUUGGGUUCUCAGAGAUUGCUGUUGGCACUCGUGUUGGAAUAGGUUUUUUUGGGGAAGUUUUCCGUGGUAUCUGGAAUGGAACAGAUGUAGCUAUAAAAGUAUUUCUGGAGCAAGAUUUAACAAUGGAGAAUAUGGAAGAUUUCUGCAAUGAGAUCUCUAUACUUAGCCGUCUCCGACAUCCCAAUGUCAUAUUGUUCCUUGGUGCAUGUAUGAAGCCUCCUCACUUAUCCCUAGUCACUGAAUAUAUGGAAAUGGGUUCCUUGUACUAUUUGAUUCACACAAGUGGCCAGAAAAGUAAGAUCAGUUGGCGAAGGAGGCUAAAAAUGCUCCGUGAUAUCUGCAGGGGUCUUAUGUGUAUGCACCGUCUGAAGAUAGUUCAUCGUGAUCUAAAGAGUGCGAAUUGCCUUGUUAACAAGCACUGGACAGUCAAGUUAUGUGAUUUUGGGCUCUCUCGGUUAUUGUCGAAUUCUGCAAUGAGUGACAACUCAUCUGCAGGCACUCCAGAGUGGAUGGCUCCUGAGCUUAUUCGUAACGAACCAUUUACAGAAAAGUGUGAUAUCUUUAGCCUUGGAGUUAUCAUGUGGGAGCUUUGCACUCUGAGUAGGCCCUGGGCAGGAAAGCCGCCAGUUCAGGUUGUUUACUCUGUUGCGAACGAAGGGGCAAGAUUGGAAAUACCAGAUGGACCUCUGGGUAACUUGAUAGCAGUAACCCCUGGCAGAAACUUUUCAAAACACUGGGCAUCAAGCUUCACAUGAGUACUUCAUACCAUCCCCAGUCUGAUGGGCAGACAGAAAGGGUUAACCAAUGCUUGGAAAAUUACCUCGGUGCAUGGCUUUCCAACAGCCUACUAAGUGGCACUCCUGGCUGGCACUAGCUGAAUGUGGACUCACCUGACUUGCUGCUCAACAAGGACCUAGCUCACCAAGCAAAAUUUGCAGAAAGCACAAGAAAGAAUGAAACACUUUGUUGACAAAAAGAGAAAAGAAAGGAUCUUCCAGGAAGGUGAUAUGGUGUAUCUCAAGAUCCGCCCAUACAGACAUACCUCUCUCAGUAUCCAUAGACAUUUGAAACUACACUCCCAAGUACUAUGGGCCUUUCAGAAUUCUCAAAAGAGUGGGUAAUCAUGCUUAUCAGUUCUGCCUGAAGGGUGCAAGCUUCAUAACACAUUCCAUGUGAGUCAGCUCAAGCAACACAUUGGUACACAUGUCAUUCCCACCCCCACCUGCCAUUGGUGACUGAACAAGGGCAGAUACUACUCCAACCUGAAGCUAUCCUAGACAGAAAAUUAAUUCCUCGACCUCAAGGUGAUAUCUCUAUUCCUGUGGUCAGAUGGUUGGUGAAAUGGCUCAAUUUACCUGUAGAAGAAGCUAGCUGGGACGAUUCUGCAUUUAUCCAGAAAAUCUUCCCAGAUUUCCAGCCUUGAGGACAAGUCUGAUCUUCACACGGGGGUAUUGUCAGGCCCUCCUCUGCUCUCUGAAUCUCCUGUACCUGUUCAUCGUCCGACAACAGCCGUAGACCGUCAUAUCCUCAUCGCGUGGAUGGAGUGUAGUCAUGAAGCGGUACACAGUUACUUAAGCCGUCAUCUGAGCAUCGUCCGAUCUCCAUCCGUCGGCUAUGAUCCAAUCACUGUAGCGUCACACUUACUGUACCUGUUCAUGUCGCUGUCAGGCUGCUUUUACCUUCAGUAAACUUUUCCUCUUUAUAAAGACCUCAGAUCCCAUCGGGAGAGGCAUCGAAUGUAAACUGGGUUGUAACCCUAGCCGCCACUGGAGUGGUUGGCCUACUUUCCUCUUCUUGUAAGAACCCUAGCGAGUUUCCUCUGAAAUCAAGCAAGAAUUCCUCUGAAAUU